rnacentral:rRNA from 1 species
UGAGUAACCUGCCCUUAACUCUGGGAUAAGCCUGGGAAACUGGGUCUAAUACCGGAUAUGACUCCUCAUCGCAUGGUGGGGGGUGGAAAGCUUUUUGUGGUUUUGGAUGGACUCGCGGCCUAUCAGCUUGUUGGUGAGGUAAUGGCUCACCAAGGCGACGACGGGUAGCCGGCCUGAGAGGGUGACCGGCCACACUGGGACUGAGAUACGGCCCAGACUCCUACGGGAGGCAG